rnacentral:rRNA from 1 species
GUGGGGAAUCUUAGACAAUGGGGGAAACCCUGAUCUAGCCAUGCCGCGUGAGCGAUGAAGGCCUUAGGGUUGUAAAGCUCUUUCAGCUGGGAAGAUAAUGACGGUACCAGCAGAAGAAGCCCCGGCUAACUCCGUGCCAGCAGCCGCGGUAAUACGGAGGGGGCUAGCGUUGUUCGGAAUUACUGGGCGUAAAGCGCGCGUAGGCGGACCAGAAAGUUGGAGGUGAAAUCACAGGGCUCAACCUUGGAACUGCCUUCAAAACUCCUGGUCUGGAGUUCGAGAGAGGUGAGUGGAAUUCCGAGUGUAGAGGUGAAAUUCGUAGAUAUUCGGAGGAACACCAGUGGCGAAGGCGGCUCACUGGCUCGAUACUGACGCUGAGGUGCGAAAGCGUGGGGAGCAAACAGGAUUAGAAACCCCGGUAGUCC